rnacentral:lncRNA from 1 species
AUGUCCGGGAACUGCAAUUGCCUUCUCCCGUUGAUUUUGAGUGUCUUGUUGCUAAAAUGUGGAUUGUGUGCAGCACAACCAAUCAAACAGCUGGUUCGUGAAAAUUCUGGCAACUUGGAGCUUUCAUUUUACUCGGAUUGCCGCAUUGGACAUGCAGGCUGUAAACCUAAAUCAAACUGUCUAAAUGAUCACAAAAUGUACGUAAAGGAGCAAUUGGAUCUGAUCCGCUCCACAAUACAGAACGAUGGGUGCAAGCGGUUUAAGUCCCUGGCCGAGAGAGACGACCCGAUAUUCAUGCUGGCCGAUGCCACCUGCAAUAGCGUUUGCGCCACCGUGGCUGAUCUCCACAAGGAGAGGCACCCGAACAUCCCUAGGGUUACCGUCGCGGGCGAGUGUAGACGCUCCCUCACCUUGAGGCUCAAGUGCAUGUGCAAAUUUUACCAGGGACUAUUUACGUGGCAUAGUUUACGCAAGACGGUCAGACAUUUCAUAGACGAUAUCGUUGAUGUUGACAGCUGA